GACGAACGCUGGCGGCGUGCUUAACACAUGCAAGUCGAACGGAAAGGCCCUGCUUUUGUGGGGUGCUCGAGUGGCGAACGGGUGAGUAACACGUGAGUAACCUGCCCUUGACUUUGGGAUAACUUCAGGAAACUGGGGCUAAUACCGGAUAGGAGCUCCUGCUGCAUGGUGGGGGUUGGAAAGUUUCGGCGGUUGGGGAUGGACUCGCGGCUUAUCAGCUUGUUGGUGGGGUGGUGGCUUGCCAAGGCUUUGACGGGUAGCCGGCCUGAGAGGGUGACCGGCCACAUUGGGACUGAGAUACGGCCCAGACUCCUACGGGAGGCAGCAGUGGGGAAUAUUGCACAAUGGGCGGAAGCCUGAUGCAGCAACGCCGCGUGCGGGAUGAAGGCCUUCGGGUUGUAAACCGCUUUCGCCUGUGACGAAGCGUGAGUGACGGUAAUGGGUAAAGAAGCACCGGCUAACUACGUG
rnacentral:rRNA from 1 species